AUUCGGUCCAAUCUAAUUCUGCAUCAUGGUUUAUUUAUGUAGUCUCGCUUUUGGACAAAACUAAUCCACAAAUCUUUUAUUAUCCUUGUGCUUGUGGCACUAUCCCCUGUCCAAUGCACACGAGAAACGUAGAAGAACAUUA
rnacentral:snoRNA from 15 species